GAAGGUAUAGCUCAGUGGUAGAGCGUGUGCUUAGCAUGCACAAAGUCCUGGGUUCAAUCCCUAGUACCGCCA
rnacentral:tRNA from 1 species